UACGUAGGUGGCAAGCGUUGUUCGGAAUUAUUGGGCGUAAAGGGCGCGUAGGCGGUUUGUUAAGUCGGUUGUGAAAGCCCGGGGCUCAACCCCGGAGGGUCGACCGAUACUGCGGGGCUAGAGUGCAGAAGGGGCAACUGGAAUUCUCGGUGUAGCGGUGAAAUGCGUAGAUAUCGAGAGGAACACCUGCGGCGAAGGCGGGUUGCUGGGCUAACACUGACGCUGAAGCGCGAAAGCUAGGGGAGCGAACGGG
rnacentral:rRNA from 1 species